rnacentral:rRNA from 1 species
CUACGGGCUGCUGCAGUAAGGAAUAUUGGUCAAUGGACGAAAGUCUGAACCAGCCAUGCCGCGUGGAGGAUGAAGGUCCUCUGGAUUGUAAACUUCUUUUAUCUGGGAAGAAAUCCAUGGUUUCUACUAUGGUUGACGGUACCAGAUGAAUAAGCACCGGCUAACUCCGUGCCAGCAGCCGCGGUAAUACGGAGGGUGCAAGCGUUAUCCGGAUUCACUGGGUUUAAAGGGUGCGUAGGUGGGCAGGUAAGUCAGUGGUGAAAUCUCCGAGCUUAACUCGGAAACUGCCAUUGAUACUAUCUGUCUUGAAUACCCUGGAUGUGAGCGGAAUAUGUCAUGUAGCGGUGAAAUGCUUAGAUAUGACAUAGAACACCAAUUGCGAAGGCAGCUCACUACGGGAAUAUUGACACUGAGGCACGAAAGCGUGGGGAUCAAACAGGAUUAGAUACCCGGGUAGUC